rnacentral:lncRNA from 1 species
AGACACAGGCAAAGUGCCUGUAAAUAAACCCUGAGUGGGCAACAUGAAUGGCCGCAGACCAGACAAAAUGAGAAUCCAGUUAAACAAGUGCAUGAAAUAUGCCCCUUAGUCCACUCAGCCUGCAACACAAAAGCACAGAACAGGCAGCUUCUAAACCACAGACAUUGACUUCCGUUCUGGAGGCCGGAAGUCCAAGAUGGAGGGUCCCGCAGAUUCCGUGUCUGAUUGUUGCAGCAGAUCCAACUGAAGGAUACACCAACCAUUUUAAUCGGACACAAAAGAACAGGCUGUCCUCACCUGACCACCACCCACAACAACCGAACUUUAAUCAGACACAAAAGAACAGGCUGUCACCUGACCACCACCCACAACAACCGAAGGGCAGGGUGAGUCCAUUUAGAGUCUCGAGAAUUUCAGACGUGCAUUCACUUUAAAGCAGGACAAUGUGCUUCCCUAGGUGAGGAGAAAGAGUAGAGCCAACAGUAGUUAUCUACUCUGCCUCUGAGCACACCUUGGAAAUAAACCACCCAUGAGAAGAAGUCCCCCUUCUGAUGUGGGGGGUUUGGAAGAGACGCAGGGACAGUGUUCACAGUGGAUGGAGAGAAGUAACUGCACUACGCAGUGGAUGGGGCAAAGUAACUGCACCCGCCGGGAAGGAAGGAACUGCUGUGGACAUGUUCUUCCUGUUGGGAUGAGCCACCGCCAACUUGAACAUUCAUCGUCUAUGGUGAAAGUAGACAUUAAUCAUCAAUAACUUGCCAAGUUCUCCCUCCAAAUAUAUUCCAGACCCCAGUUGCCAUAAACACCUUGUGGCCUCCUUCCUACACACAAUGAGAAUCCUGUAUCUUGUUCCACGUUUAGCCUUGGCCACCUACAGACACAGAAGCACACUGUUAGUUCAAAUUUAUUGUCUGUGGGCCAAGGCACCAUGCACAUAAUUAAAUCAGUUUUUUAAUACUUUAAAAUCAAAA